rnacentral:rRNA from 1 species
AGAGUUUGAUCAUGGCUCAGAGCGAACGCUGGCGGAAUGCUUAACACAUGCAAGUCGCACGGGGGCUUCGGCUCUAGUGGCGGACGGGUGAGUAACGCGUAGGAACGUGUCUUGGGGUGGGGGAUAACGCUGGGAAACUGGCGCUAAUACCGCAUGUCUGCUGCGGCAGAAAGCCUUCGGGUGCCUUGAGAGCGGCCUGCGUCCGAUUAGCUAGUUGGUGGGGUAAAGGCUUACCAAGGCUUCGAUCGAGCUGGUCUGAGAGGACGAUCAGCCACACUGGGACUGAGACACGGCCCAGACUCCUACGGGAGGCAGCAGUGGGGAAUAUUGGACAAUGGGCGCAAGCCUGAUCCAGCAAUUCCGCGUGGGUGAAGAAGGUCUUCGGAUUGUAAAGCCCUUUCGACAGGGACGAUGAUGACGGUACCUGUAGAAGAAGCCCCGGCUAACUUCGUGCCAGCAGCCGCGGUAAUACGAAGGGGGCUAGCGUUGCUCGGAAUUACUGGGCGUAAAGGGCGCGUAGGCGGCGCAUUUAGUCAGGCGUGAAAUUCCUGGGCUCAACCUGGGGACUGCGCUUGAUACGGAUGUGCUAGAGGAUGGAAGAGGCUCGCGGAAUUCCCAGUGUAGAGGUGAAAUUCGUAGAUAUUGGGAAGAACACCGGUGGCGAAGGCGGCGAGCUGGUCCAUUACUGACGCUGAGGCGCGACAGCGUGGGGAGCAAACAGGAUUAGAUACCCUAGUAGUCC